rnacentral:rRNA from 1 species
GACGAACGCUGGCGGCGUGCCUAAUACAUGCAAGUUGAGCGAUGAAGAUUGGUGCUUGCACCAAUUUGAAGAGCAGCGAACGGGUGAGUAACGCGUGGGGAAUCUGCCUUUGAGCGGGGGACAACAUUUGGAAACGAAUGCUAAUACCGCAUAACAACUUUAAACAUAAGUUUUAAGUUUGAAAGAUGCAAUUGCAUCACUCAAAGAUGAUCCCGCGUUGUAUUAGCUAGUUGGUGAGGUAAAGGCUCACCAAGGCGAUGAUACAUAGCCGACCUGAGAGGGUGAGCGGCCACAUUGGGACUGAGACACGGCCCAAACUCCUACGGGAGGCAGCAGUAGGGAAUCUUCGGCAAUGGACGAAAGUCUGACCGAGCAACGCCGCGUGAGUGAAGAAGGUUUUCGGAUCGUAAAACUCUGUUGGUAGAGAAGAACGUUGGUGAGAGUGGAAAGCUCAUCAAGUGACGGUAACUACCCAGAAAGGGACGGCUAACUACGUG